GAUGAACGCUGGCUACAGGCUUAACACAUGCAAGUCGAGGGGAAACGACGGGGAAGCUUGCUUCCCCGGGCGUCGACCGGCGCACGGGUGAGUAACGCGUAUCCAACCUGCCUCUGACUGAGGGAUAACCCGUCGAAAGUCGGCCUAAUACCUCAUGGCAUCGUCUGCGGGCAUCCAACGACGAUUAAAGAUUUCAUCGGUCAGGGAUGGGGAUGCGUCUGAUUAGCUUGUUGGCGGGGUAACGGCCCACCAAGGCUACGAUCAGUAGGGGUUCUGAGAGGAGGGUCCCCCACAUUGGAACUGAGACACGGUCCAAACUGCUACGGGAGGCAGCAGUGAGGAAUACUGGUGAAUGGGCGGUAGCCUGAACCAGCCAAGUAGCGUGCAGGAUGACGGCCCUAUGGGUUGUAAACUGCUUUUAGGCGGGGAUAAAGUGAGGGACGGGUCCUUCAUUGAAGGUACCGCAUGAAUAAGGACCGGCUAAUUCCGUG
rnacentral:rRNA from 1 species